UCUCUCAUGGCUCAAGGUUUGAUCUCAUUAACAAACCAAACACCUUUACAGGAUUCUGUGGGACUCGAGUUCAAUGCUGACCUUCUUAAGGUGCGCCAUGAGUCUGCAAUAAGUGCCUUAUAUACUGAUCUGCCCAGGCAGUGUACCACUUGUGGCCUUAGAUUUAAGUGCCAAGAAGAGCACAGUAGUCACAUGGAUUGGCAUGUUACUAAAAACCGGAUGUCCAAGAACCGUAAGCAGAA
rnacentral:misc_RNA from 1 species